CCCUCGGGAGGCAGCAGUCGAGAAUUUUUCACAAUGGACGAAAGUCUGAUGGAGCGACGCCGCGUGGAGGAUGAAGGUUCUUGGAUUGUAAACUCCUGUCACUGCAGAACAAGACUACGCAUAUGAAUAGUACGCGUAGUUGAUGGUAUGCGGAGAGGAAGGGACGGCUAACUCUGUGCCAGCAGCCGCGGUAAU
rnacentral:rRNA from 1 species